rfam:Trichobilharzia regenti genome assembly, scaffold: TRE_scaffold0027136
GUACUGAUGAAGAGUCCCAAACUAGGAUGGAGGAAACAGAUGUCCAGUAC